rnacentral:rRNA from 1 species
GAUGAACGCUAGCGGCAGGCUUAAUACAUGCAAGUCGAGGGACAGCACAGGUAGCAAUACUGGGUGGUAACCGGCAAACGGGUGCGGAAUACGUACACAACCUUCCUUUAAGUGGGGGAUAGCCCAGAGAAAUUUGGAUUAAUACCCCGUAAUAUAGUUGAAUGGCAUCAUUUGACUAUUAUAGCUACGGCGCUUAAUGAUGGGUGUGCGGCUGAUUAGAUAGUUGGCGGGGUAACGGCCCACCAAGUCUACGAUCAGUAGCUGAUGUGAGAGCAUGAUCAGCCACACGGGCACUGAGACACGGGCCCGACUCCUACGGGAGGCAGCAGUAAGGAAUAUUGGUCAAUGGACGCAAGUCUGAACCAGCCAUGCCGCGUGAAGGAUUAAGGUCCUCUGGAUUGUAAACUUCUUUUAUUUGGGACGAAAAAGGGCCUUUCUAGGUCAACUGACGGUACCAGAUGAAUAAGCACCGGCUAACUCCGUGCCAGCCGCCGCAGUAAAAC